rnacentral:misc_RNA from 1 species
UGGCUCUCGCAACGAUGAAGAACGCAGCGAAAUGCGAUAAGUAAUGUGAAUUGCAAAAUUCCGUGAAUCAUCAAAUCUUUGAACGCACAUUGCGCUUCCUGGUAUUCCGGGGAGCAUGACUGUUUGAGAAUCAGUGAAUUGUCGAGUGAGAGAUCACUUGGAGAUGAGAAUAUGCGUUAGCAAUUCUUUAAAGAGAUAGCGAUGAGAGGGGAGAGCAUAGCCCAAGCAGCAAGAUCAAUAUUGAAACUGCGAGCGAGGGUGAAAGCAAACUCUAAUCAGUCGAGACACAAACACGAGGCCACGACCUCAAGACAUGAUCUCAAAUCAGUCAAGACAACCCGCUGA